rnacentral:rRNA from 1 species
GUGAGGAAUAUUGGACAAUGGGCGAGAGCCUGAUCCAGCCAUGCCGCGUGCAGGAAGACUGCCCUAUGGGUUGUAAACUGCUUUUAUACAGGAAGAAACCUUUCCACGUGUGGGAAGCUGACGGUACUGUAAGAAUAAGGAUCGGCUAACUCCGUGCCAGCAGCCGCGGUAAUACGGAGGAUCCGAGCGUUAUCCGGAAUUAUUGGGUUUAAAGGGUCCGUAGGCGGGUCUUUAAGUCAGUGGUGAAAGUUUGCGGCUCAACCGUAAAAUUGCCAUUGAUACUGGAGAUCUUGAAUUAGUGUGAAGUGGUUAGAAUGUGUAGUGUAGCGGUGAAAUGCAUAGAUAUUACACAGAAUACCAAUUGCGAAGGCAGAUCACUAACACUAUAUUGACGCUGAGGGACGAAAGCGUGGGGAGCGAACAGG